GACGGGCUCCUAGUGAAGGCUGACAGUGCAACACUCAGGCAUCGCUGGGAUGUGCUGAGGGCUCAGCCUAGCACCGUUUACUGAGAACCACUGGCUGAGGGCCAGACUCCCUCCUGGAGCCUGAGCCUGAGCACAGAGGUCACUGAGACGUGACCCUGCCUUAGACAUGCCUGCAGUCUAGGUGGGGGGAACAAAUAUGUCAGCCUAGAACUUCAGUUGCCAUGGCGAACGCUGCACUGAAAUGAGUGCUGAAGAGACAGAUGCUUUGGCAGCCAGAGGAGGAACUGGGCAGGGAGGGCUUCCUGCUGGAGAGGGCACUUGAGCUGAGUGAAGGUUAAGGGGGCUGUUGCCCCCAGCCUUUUGAUCUGGUCAGAGUAUGUAUCGCUGUUCCACUCUGUGAACUCCUCAGUAGAGUCGAGUUUUCUGGAUCCCACAGCACCCUUGCCUUAGUUGGCUCCCUUGGUACCUUUGUGGUUUUUAAUAGUCACCUCCUCUACUGCCGGAGCGAACAUGCUGAAGAAAAAAUAAAAAUCUUGUCAGCGUUAUCGCUCAGCACACAGUGAUUCACUCCUGUCUCUCCAUACUUAGAAGCAGGACCAGCAGCGAAUGAAUAUAAACUGCAGAGAAAGGACUUAAGUAAGAUCUGAGGACCACAUUCCAGACGGGAUGUGAGGACAAGUGACUCAGGAGCAGAGGGGAAUGGCCAUCCCCGAAGGUCUUUAGUAAUGGGAGCAAGUUCCAUUUGUCUUUGUGGUUUAAGAGGUUUCAUCUGGAGACAGGAAGAUGAAGUAGAGGCCCCUCGAGAUCUGUGUCAGCUCAGCACAGGGAGGGGAAAACAAGCUGGAAUUUUUGAGCUAGAAUGUCGCUCGGAUCUGGCCUAACCCCUCAUUUUCCUGUUAAAGUGACUGAAGAAUGUCUGCCUCCUUAAGUGGGUCAUUCAUUAAUGAGCCAAGACACAAACCACAUCUGCCCACAGCUGGGUGCUGCCCUGCGUUGAUCCCUGUCAGAGGGGGUGCACUCUGGGGGCACCCCACAGCCCUACCGGGUGGAGUCCAUGCCUUGUGAAGAGGGCUGCAGGAACCCGCAAGGAGUUGGCUGUCUGGUUGCCGGCACUAGAGAAGAGCUUUAGCUCCUCCUCACAAACUGUUCUGAAAGUGGCCCAGUGGGAGCUAGCAGUCGUCUCAUUCACUCCAGCAUUCUUGCCUGGAGAAGUCCAUGGACAGAGGAGCCUGGUGGGCUGCACACUGUGGACUCGAACAGACUUGGACAUGGCUGAGUGACUGUCACUCACGCUGCUCACCCUCCUGGCCCAGCACCUAGAAGGCCCCUCGAGGGCCUUCAGUAAACCUGGUUGAAUGAAGAGUAAAUAGCAGACCACCCAAAAGUUAUUUCUCUUUUACCAAACACUUGUUGGCCAGUGCGUUUCCCUUUUCAGCUCUGUGUUGCUUAAGCCAGCAACUGAAUCAUUACACGAUGCCCGCAGCAACAGAGAGAGGCACCCAAAAGUGUGCUGGGGGCAAGCAUGACGGACAGAACAGUUUGGGAUUUUUCUCAAUGUGUCUAAUUCCUUUGAAUCCAUAUCAAGGGCGGACAUUAUGUUCAUUGAUGAUGACUUGCCUUUUUUUGUUUGUUGUAGUUUGUUGUUCCCAGCCUGAAAGUAAAAAGGCUGCAUUUUUCAAAUUUAGGAAAAGCGUGUGGUCUAGUUAUCUAGGAUGCAUUCAGCAAGAUGGCUACAGAGAUCACCAAAGAAACAAGGCUUGCUCUCAGAAGAGAAUCUGAUUAAGGAGGAGCCAAACGGGAGCCAGUGCUAGACAAUGAAUUUAGAAUACGGAGUGGUGAAGUUUACUUCCUGGGGUGAAUUUCAGUGGACUUGUGCAAAUUAAAGAAAAGCAGCAGCCGAAAACCCUAUGGCGGGUCUCUUGCUUCUUACCUAUUCAUUAAGGGAGCACUGAGUUCUAGGAGGCACCUGCACAAGGGUUUAUUUCCCGCCCCUACCUCCCGCAACCAGCACGCUAAAUCUGGAGCUCUGAUGAGAAGAUCCUCUGCGGUCAUGUAGGGUGAUCAGGCUUAGGAAAUGAUUUCACUUUGUUCAGGUCUGAGAUUAGUUUCGGUUUCAGGCUGUACCAGGAGCUGAGAGAGCGAGCCUGAGCUAGAGCGAGGGAGAGGAGGAGGAGGCUGCUGGGAGAGCCUCACCAUUGGCUGCCACGAGUGGCAAGGUGGGCGGGCAGGGAACUCCUGCGCUGAGCAGGGAGACGAGGAAGAUGAAUCAGAGAUACAGUCAGGGGAGGCAGCCAUUGAGCAUCUCUGUGUCUGUGGACCGGGCAGCAGCCUAUGACGGUAUCAGCAGCUGUGUGGAGGGCAAAAGCCGGCACAGUUACAGGGGUUCUGAGCCGGGGCUGCGAGGUCUUACGGAAGCUGUAAAACACAGACUACCUGGAUGGAGUGGGUUUUGCGUGAGCAGGUGCCAAGCUCGGAGGAAAGCUGGGUGUCAGUGUGCCACAAACCACCCCGCCCCCUUCUUAUACCCGUAUCCUUACAACUUGCGUUCUCUUGCAUUUGAGUUUCCCCUUUAAAAAAAAUAAAGACAAAUGAAGGUUUUAGAGCUGAUAGUUGAGAACCUGCAGACUUUUGCGAGUUGGCGCAUCCUUUAAGAUGCUGCCUUCAAGCUGUCGUUUCUCCUUGAGACGGUUUGCGGCCAGUCUGGUGGUUUCACAGGGCGGUCAUUAUCUCAGAAAAUCAGUGCCUUCCCUCCCCUGACUGGCUCUGGGUGCGGCAGACACAGAUGUUUCAUCCCACCCGAGCAGUGUUACAGCACCAUUGCAUUUUAUUUCUCCAAGUCAUAAAUUCAUUUUAUUGCUGAAAGAGAGAAGCAUUGAAUUUUAAAGCCAGGAAGGAUUUUGAAGAUCAUCCAGACUGCUCCUAGAGGAAUUUGUGGUCCUGGGUCAUUAAGCACCUUGAAAAAGAACUAUAGAAUGUAGUUAAAAACUCUGAGUCAGACUGCCUGUGUUUGAAUCCACCUUUGCUAGUUGCUGCUGUGUUCUUGGGGCAAGUUAAGUCAAUUUCUGAGUCUUAGUUUCCUGAACUAUUCAAUGGGAGUGAUAAUAUCCCCUGAUUGUUGCUGCUGCUAAGUCACUUUGGUCGUGUCCAACUCUGUGUGACCCCAUAGAUAGAGGCCCACCAGGCUCCCCCGUCCCUGGGAUUCUCUAGGCAAGAACACUGGAGUAGGUUGCCAUUUCCUUCUCCAAUGCAUGAAAGUGAAAAGUGAAAGUGAAGUCGCUCAGUCCUGUCCGACUCUUCGAGACCCCAUGGACUGCAGCCUACCAGGCUCCUCCAUCCAUGGGAUUUUCCAGGCAAGAGUACUGGAGUGGGGUGCCAUUGCCUUCUCUGCUAAUUGUUGCUAGUGAGGAUCAAAUACUCGUUAAGCAUUAGCACAGUGCUUGGCAAAUCAUUAAGUUCUCAAUAAAUGUUAGUUACUGCUAACAUUUGUUAUUAUCCUCAUUUCAUGAAAUCAUAUCAUCAUCAGUGGCUAAUUGCUGUUAGAGCCAGGGCUAUAGUGCUAAACUCUUUAUAAUACUAGUUUUCUCCAGCAUGGCCAUGCAGUGAUUUAAUCACAGUCUUGAAACACACAAAGAGCAUUGGUGAAAGUACUUGUGUAGAAAUCUAAUGCAUAAACAUUCAUAAAAGAGCUGGAAGAAAUGGGCUCAAUCCAUGUAUUAGAUAUAGUUAGACUGUGGGCAUGAGGGCAUGUAUUUAACAAAUAAUCUGUGUCCACAGACACCCUUUAUAGUGUUUAGAGGUUUCCUAAAUGCCAGAAUGGUUACCUCUGCUGGAAAGGUUGGGGAGUUCUUCGAUGUUUUUGUUGAACUCUCCUCAAAUUGGAAACAUCCAUUUCAAUGAGUUGUGAUGGCAAGCAGGCUUUUGGGUGUAAUGGAAAUAUUUCUGCAGCCUGGCUGCUGCUUAUCAAGGGUGAAGACAGUGCAUGCUUUUAAAAACUAUGGGCUUGGCAGAAGUCCGUCCACAGGUCUUAGGCCAGGCCAGCACAAAUGCCUUCCCAAAUGAUUUGCACUGACCUUUUUUGCAAAUUGCUGAAAUAUUGUUGAGGGGGGUGUCAUCCUUGGCCUUGAGGGGUCUUUUGACACUUUUGAUGGGGUGGCAUAAGGCUGCUUUGGUAUAUUUUCUUGGAAUAUGAAAACAAAUGGAAAUUAAUUUUGUUUGGCAAAUCCUGCAACAUUCCCUUGUGAUAUUGCCACUCUCUGGGGCUUACAGAAUUGAAAUCUGUUUUUGAUGCUGAUCCAUGGGACUUCUCAAAUUUCCGUGCCUGAGGGAGAGAGCUUGUUAGAGUGUGAAAUUUGUGAGCGUGUGAUUCAGAGUCCAAGAUGAGAGAUCCAGUCUGAGCUCUAUUGUGUGUGGACUGUCAUUCUGAGCAGAUCACUUUAUUUCUUGGUUUGUACUUUUCUUGAGUUUAAUCUGUUAUUGUACCCGCAACAACAAAUGGAUUUUGAACACAUCUGUUAACCAGAGCUGGUAAUAAGAGUCGCUAUUGCACUAGAUGGGGCUUCCCAGGUGGCGCUAGUGGGAAAGAACCCGCUUGCCAAUACAGGAGACGUAAGAGACACGGGUUCGAUCCCUGGGUUGGGAAGAUCCCCUGGAAAAGGGCAUGGCAGCCCUCUCCAGUAUUCUUGCCUGGUGAAUCCCCACGGACAGAGGAGCCUGGUGGGCUACAGUCCAUAGGGUCGCACAGAGUUGGAAUGACUGAA
ensembl:lncRNA